rnacentral:sRNA from 15 species
CUGCUCCUCCAAGAGCACCAUACCAUACCAUCCCAAAAAAAACCCUUGACAUUCACAAUUUGAGUAUAUAUGUAUUUCCCCCUCAUUUGCUUUUUGCACCCAUCUAUUAAUUGAGUUUCGAGUCUUGAUGCAACACAAACUAUUAAUUAUGCAUAGUACACAUUAAUUUUAUUUUUACUCUGGCGGCGCUCUCUCACUUGCUAUCUCUCUCUCUCUCUCUCGCUCUGGGUUAAAGGGGGACCACUAAAAGUAUGAGUAUAUGAAAACUUUGCGCUUAACAAUAUUUUUGUGUUAAAGAAUGCCAUCCCAGCACACCCCGACCCCCCCACCAGCCCACAAUCCCCCCGCACGCUAUUCCGCACACCAACAGCACUACCACCACCACCACCCAAAAAAUGCUCUUCACGCUCGUUCGCAUGACAACUCUGUCUGGCAACUCUGAUUCGACGACGGCCAUUGCUUCGCAACUUGUUGCUCGUCCGUAUCGCUCUCUGUUUCUCUGCUUUCUGAUUCUCAUUCUGACGUUUUGCCUGUGUGUUAUGGAAUUUUUGUUAUUUAUUUCCGUUUUGCUAGCUAUAAGGAAUAUCGGAAGAGCUAAAGCUGACACAGCAGCGUAUUAUGGAUAACGAGGCGUUAGAAACAACAACAACGACA